GCUCUUUGGAGUAAACAGGGGGAAGUAUGGCGCUCGAUGUUGUUUGGUUUAUAACAACCUUUUAAAGUUGUUUUAAACUUAAAAAGUUAACCGCAGAUGAACAUCAAUUCAAACGAUGGAUGUCAAAGCACAAGAAGGUGUAUGCUACUGAGGAGGAGUACUACCACCGGCUCCAGAUAUUCAAUGAGAAUAAGAGGGAGAUUGAGCAUCAUAAUGCUGGGAAUCACUCAUUUACAAGUUGCAAAGUACCUGCUGGACAGCAGUACGACACUGGAUGAGGAGAGCCUGUAUGAUGCAUCUCUGAGAAUCGAGCCCAAAACUUCAGCAUGAAGAGGAUCGCACACCCCCACCCCUCCUAUGGAUCACAUUUAAGUUAUUAUGAUAUGCACAACAAUUACAGAGACAUUGGCAAAGAACAUCAUAUUAGAACUCUACAUUCGCAAAGACAAUUUUAGAAUAAUGGGAUUGUAAGACGUAUAAUAAGUCGCAGAAGUUACAAUACAACACAAUUCAACAUGAAUAAACUAAAUAAAAGUAUAUAAAGGUACAUUGACAGUAGUAAUGAGCUCAAGAGUUAAAAAAGGCUGUUGGAUGAAACUGAUCCUUAUCUUCAGGGUGGGGGACUGGGUGGGUUGGGGUCUCUGAUAAUCCUGUUGGCCUUCUUCCUGCACCGCUCGGUGUGGACUUCCUCCAUGGGUGGCAUCUAUAUCCUGGUGAUGUGCUGAGCAGUUUUCAUCACCCUCUUUGAUGCUUUACAGAUAAAGGCAGUGCCAAUGCAGUACCAGGCGGUGAUGCAGUGUAAUAUAAAAAUAUCAUACUCACUUACUUACUUUAAUAAUGUCAUAGUGUGAUUCGAAUUUGCUAAUGUUUAUCUAUAUUUACUACUUCUCACACUUCUUAGCUAAGCUUGGGAAAAUUCCUUAAUAAGAAGAUUUGUUGCAGUGUUGUUAGUUAUACCAACAGUAUGACCUUCAACUCAGUUUAACUGAGAACUUCCUGAUAUGGCCUCCCUAACUCCCAGAAUGCACCUUUGUUAUCACCAAACUCAACCCCUCCCUUUCUCCUCUCUCUGUGUUUAUGCAACCCAAACUCUAUUCUUUGUCUUUCACUCUGCAUACUGUAUGCUCUCUGUAUGACUGACUGAACUUUCUUGCAAGAAAUAAAAUA